rnacentral:antisense_RNA from 2 species
UUUGAAGGUGGUGAAAUAAAAAAAGGGUGAUCCUUGCGGAUCACCCUUUUUUUUAUUUCACCACCUUCAAA